rnacentral:rRNA from 1 species
CCUACGGGUGGCAGCAGUGGGGAAUAUUGCACAAUGGGGGCAACCCUGAUGCAGCAACGCCGCGUGAGUGAAGAAGUAUUUCGGUAUGUAAAGCACUAUCAGCAGGGAAGAAGGUGAUAGUGCCUGAGUAAGAGGCCACGGCUAACUACGUGCCAGCAGCCGCGGUAAUACGUAGGGGGCAAGCUUUAUCCGGAUUUACUGGGUGUAAAGGGAACGUAGACGGUGAGUCAAGUCUGACGUGAAAGCCCCGGGCUCAACCCCGGGACUGCUUUGGAUACUGGCUGACUGGAGUGCUGUAGAGGCAAGCAGAAUUCCUAGUGUAGCGGUGAAAUGCGUAGAUAUUAGGAAGAACACCAGUGGCGAAGGCGGCUUGCUGGACAGUAACUGACGUUGAGGUUCGAAAGCGUGGGGAGCAAACAGGAUUAGAUACCCCGGUAGUC